rnacentral:rRNA from 1 species
AUGUCGUCUCCCUCCUCCUCCAACAAUGAGGGCAACGAUGCUUGGCUAAUGAAGACAGAGCUGAAGAGAGAAGAACCCAUGGAGAUCAACAAGGAUGAAGGGAUCAAGAAGGCCACGGAGGACCAAGCUCCGGCAACAGAAAACAUCCUUCAACUUGAUCACAAUCUUCUUACCCCAACUAAGAUCGAAGCUUUCAAGAUGAUCGAGUUAGCUCGUAUACAAAAUAAGUAUCUCACACAUGAAAAUAUUUUGUUGAAGGAGCAUAUCAUCGCACUCAAAGGCAUCAUCCGCAAGUUAGAAGACCCCCUACGCGCGAUGUGCGACUAUCCAUCAUCAACAACUCCACCUUCUUCACCGACAAAGAAGAAUUGA